UCCCCGGUAGCUCAGUUGGUAGAGCAAGCGGCUGUUAACCGCUGGGUCGUAGGUUCGAGUCCUACCCGGGGAG
rnacentral:tRNA from 1 species